GGGCCCGUGGCCUAGUAUGGAUUAAGGCACCAGCCUGCGGAGCUGGUUAUCGUGGGUUCAAAUCCCACCGGGCCCG
rnacentral:tRNA from 1 species